rnacentral:rRNA from 1 species
AUUGAACGCUGGCGGCAUGCCUUACACAUGCAAGUCGAACGAUCACUUCGGUGGUAGUGGCGCACGGGUGCGUAACGCGUGGGAAUCUGCCCUUGGGUUCGGAAUAACGUCGGGAAACUGACGCUAAUACCGGAUGAUGACGUAAGUCCAAAGAUUUAUCGCCCAGGGAUGAGCCCGCGUAGGAUUAGCUAGUUGGUGGGGUAAAGGCUUACCAAGGCGACGAUCCUUAGCUGGUCUGAGAGGAUGAUCAGCCACACUGGGACUGAGACACGGCCCAGACUCCUACGGGAGGCAGCAGUAGGGAAUAUUGGACAAUGGGGGCAACCCUGAUCCAGCAAUGCCGCGUGAGUGAUGAAGGCCUUAGGGUUGUAAAGCUCUUUUACCCGGGAUGAUAAUGACAGUACCGGGAGAAUAAGCCCCGGCUAACUCCGUGCCAGCAGCCGCCGUAA